rnacentral:rRNA from 1 species
AACGAACGCUGGCGGCAGGCUUAACACAUGCAAGUCGAACGCUCCGCAAGGAGAGUGGCAGACGGGUGAGUAACACGUGGGAACGUACCCUUUACUACGGAACAACUCCGGGAAACUGGAGCUAAUACCGUAUGUGCCCUUUGGGGGAAAGAUUUAUUGGUAAAGGAUCGGCCCGCGUUGGAUUAGCUAGUUGGUGGGGUAAAGGCCUACCAAGGCGACGAUCUAUAGCUGGUCUGAGAGGAUGAUCAGCCACAUUGGGACUGAGACACGGCCCAAACUCCUACGGGAGGCAGCAGUGGGGAAUAUUGGACAAUGGGCGCAAGCCUGAUCCAGCCAUGCCGCGUGUGUGAUGAAGGCCUUGGGGUUGUAAAGCACUUUCACCGGAGAAGAUAAUGACGGUAUCCGGAGAAGAAGCCCCGGCUAACUUCGUGCCAGCCGCCGCGGUAA